rnacentral:rRNA from 1 species
UUUAAAGAAAGCGUAAUAGCUCACUGGUCGAGUCGGCCUGCGCGGAAGAUGUAACGGGGCUAAACCAUGCACCGAAGCUGCGGCAGCGACGCUUAUGCGUUGUUGGGUAGGGGAGCGUUCUGUAAGCCUGCGAAGGUGUGCUGUGAGGCAUGCUGGAGGUAUCAGAAGUGCGAAUGCUGACAUAAGUAACGAUAAAGCGGGUGAAAAGCCCGCUCGCCGGAAGACCAAGGGUUCCUGUCCAACGUUAAUCGGGGCAGGGUGAGUCGACCCCUAAGGCGAGGCCGAAAGGCGUAGUCGAUGGGAAACAGGUUAAUAUUCCUGUACUUGGUGUUACUGCGAAGGGGGGACGGAGAAGGCUAUGUUGGCCGGGCGACGGUUGUCCCGGUUUAAGCGUGUAGGCUGGUUUUCCAGGCAAAUCCGGAAAAUCAAGGCUGAGGCGUGAUGACGAGGCACUACGGUGCUGAAGCAACAAAUGCCCUGCUUCCAGGAAAAGCCUCUAAGCAUCAGGUAACAUCAAAUCGUACCCCAAACCGACACAGGUGGUCAGGUAGAGAAUACCAAGGCGCUUGAGAGAACUCGGGUGAAGGAACUAGGCAAAAUGGUGCCGUAACUUCGGGAGAAGGCACGCUGAUAUGUAGGUGAAGCGACUUGCUCGUGGAGCUGAAAUCAGUCGAAGAUACCAGCUGGCUGCAACUGUUUAUUAAAAACACAGCACUGUGCAAACACGAAAGUGGACGUAUACGGUGUGACGCCUGCCCGGUGCCGGAAGGUUAAUUGAUGGGGUUAGCGCAAGCGAAGCUCUUGAUCGAAGCCCCGGUAAACGGCGGCCGUAACUAUAACGGUCCUAAGGUAGCGAAAUUCCUUGUCGGGUAAGUUCCGACCUGCACGAAUGGCGUAAUGAUGGCCAGGCUGUCUCCACCCGAGACUCAGUGAAAUUGAACUCGCUGUGAAGAUGCAGUGUACCCGCGGCAAGACGGAAAGACCCCGUGAACCUUUACUAUAGCUUGACACUGAACAUUGAGCCUUGAUGUGUAGGAUAGGUGGGAGGCUUUGAAGUGUGGACGCCAGUCUGCAUGGAGCCGACCUUGAAAUACCACCCUUUAAUGUUUGAUGUUCUAACGUUGACCCGUAAUCCGGGUUGCGGACAGUGUCUGGUGGGUAGUUUGACUGGGGCGGUCUCCUCCUAAAGAGUAACGGAGGAGCACGAAGGUUGGCUAAUCCU